GUGUCGAAAGCGUUCCACAGGGGAUGCUGGCCCAUGUUGACUCUACAAGGUGUCGAAAGCGUUCCACAGGGAUGCUGGCCCAUGUUGACUCUACAAGGUGUCGAAAGCGUUCCACAGGGAUGCUGGCCCAUGUUGACUCUACAAGGUGUUGAAAGCGUUCCACAGGGAUGCUGGUCCAUGUUGACUCUACAAGGUGUCUAAAGCGUUCCACGGGGAUGCUGGCCCAUGUUGACUCUACAAGGUGUCGAAAGCGUUCCACAGGGAUGCUGGCCCAUGUUGACUCUACAAGGUGUUGAAAGCGUUCCACAGGGAUGCUGGCCCAUGUUGACUCUACAAGGUGUUGAAAGCGUUCCACAGGGAUGCUGGUCCAUGUUGACUCUACAAGGUGUUGAAAGCGUUCCACAGGGAUGCUGGCCCCAUGUUGACUCUACAAGGUGUCUAAAGCGUUCCACGGGGAUGCUGGCCCCAUGUUGACUCUACAAGGUGUCGAAAGCGUUCCACAGGGAUGCUGGCCCCAUGUUGACUCUACAAGGUGUUGAAAGCGUUCCACAGGGAUGCUGGCCCAUGUUGACUCUACAAGGUGUCUGAAAGCGUUCCACAGGGAUGCUGGCCCAUGUUGACUCUACAAGGUGUCGAAAGCGUUCCACAGGGAUGCUGGUCCAUGUUGACUCUACAAGGUGUCGAAAGCGUUCCACAGGGAUGCUGGUCCAUGUUGACUCUACAAGGUGUUGAAAGCGUUCCACAGGGAUGCUGGCCCAUGUUGACUCUACAAGGUGUUGAAAGCGUUCCACAGGGAUGCUGGCCCAUGUUUACUCUACAAGGUGUCUGAAAGCGUUCCACAGGGAUGCUGGCCCAUGUUGACUCUACAAGGUGUUGAAAGAGUU